rnacentral:lncRNA from 1 species
AUCUUGAACUUCUUUGCAGCCAACGACACACUUGACCUUGUCCUCUCCAAACAGUCUGAGUUCCUCCUUUAAAGCGCAAAGGAGCUUUGCCUAUCCUACGGUACAUUGUGUUCUAAUAGCGAGUUUCCAUGGCUGCUCACUAACAACACAGGGACCCUGGAAGGGAAGUGAGGAGAAUUUUCAAAACAGAGGACAAAAUCUUGCUGUGGAAUCAGAAAGAAUUAAUGCUCUCUGCUCACCUUGUGGAGUAUCUGUAUUUACCUGGGGCUCGCUGUAUCGUUCCUCUUCCCUCUGUAAAUCACUAAAGGGACAGGGAAGAAAGGGACAGGGAAGAGGACACAGAGGCUGUGUCACAAACUCAGACAUUGCUUAAGUGCUGAAAAUUUGUUACUGUCAAUAUUCAGAAAGCUGUUUUUUUAUAGCACUUCACAGCAAGCAAAGAGGAGCGUGAGCUACCAAACUGUUCAAAGCGACCAGAAGUUUCUGACAAACCAGCGUGACUAAACCCCUGCUUCACGAAGUGAAUCCUCUAAAUAUCCCUGGGCUCACAGUACUGAUUGGAUGAGGGAUAUUUCUUUUACCCUCAGGCCAACUUGCUGUGCCCUCCACUCCCCCCCCC